CGGUGCAUUACGUUUGCGCGCAUUACCAUUACAUUUGCGCGCAGCUUUUUAUUACAUUUGCGCGCAUUUUUUUGACAGGUAAACUCAGGUUAAAUACAGGUAAUAUUACUUAUUUAUUUAUCCAACUUCGCAUUCUUUGUUUUUUAUACUCAACACUUAGCCCUAUAGUUUCUGAAUUUUGUGCAACCAACUUUGGCCUAAAUGAAAACGGCAGCGUUCUAUUCUGGAAAUACAGAUCUAAAUGCAAUGUGCAUUGCGAUUUCAAAGUCAAUAUGUACGAUUCUUGGUUUAAACAAUACACAACGAACAUAUCAUGUUGAGCAAAACAGUGUAAAUUUCCUCUGAUUUGGAUGGUAAGAGAGCAAAUACUAGUGGUGCAUAAUGUCCCAAUUUUAAUCAAUGAAACGUGUAAAGUUGUUCAAAAUAUUUUGGACAGUAACUGAAAGUUCCGUCAAUUAAAAGUUCUGAAGCUUUUGUGCAUAAUGCAUCAA
rnacentral:lncRNA from 1 species